GCUAAAUACCUAAUAAAAAAUGGAAAAAAAAAAGAACUUAGACCUUUCAGUGGAUCCCAUAAGUUGUACCAGUUCUAUGCUGGAGCCACAUUGAUUUCAUCUCACCUCUUUUUUAAAAUUAGCUGGAUAGCUUUGGCCAAGUCACUUAAUUCCUUAACUCCAUUUUCCUUAUUUACAACACAGAGGUCAUUGAUUAUAAUAUCCACCCAUUUGUAUUUGAGGAUUUUAUUGAUUUUGUUCAUUUUGACAAGAGGGUCUUUCCAGGUAGCUUGUGCUAGCUUUGAACUUGUCAUCCUUCUGCCUGACUCCAUCCCUGAAUUGCUGACUUUACAGAUGUCAAGAGGCACCACAUCUGUCAAGAGGAAUUUCUUUUUGAGCCAGUGUCUCAUGUAGUUCAAGCUGGCCUUGAAGUCACUAUAUAGUUGAAGAUGACCUGGAACAGACGGAUCUUCCUGAAUCCAUCUCCUUAGUCCUAGGGUUAUAGGCUGAUGAAACCAAUUCCUGGUAUAGGAUUCAAAACUGUUUCUUCAUUUAUGUAUGCAUGCAUGUGUAUGUAUAUGUGUGCAACUGUGUGGUAUAGCACAUGCAUGGAGGUCAGAGACAACUUGUGGUAAUCAGUUCUCUCCCUCUACCACCUGUGGGCCAAGGGGAUUGAACUCAGGUUGGCACGCUUGAUGACAGGUAUCCUUUUAUCCAUUCAACCAUCCACUGGGGCCCAGGAGAGGUUUUGGAGAUUGUGUCUCACAAUAUUUCUCAGUCUGGCCCUCAAAUGCUGAGCACAAGCUAUCCUUUUACCCUAGUCUCCUGAGUUUCUGGAAUGAUGAAGAAUUCAUGAAUGUAAAGAGAUGAAAUGGUUAGGGCAGUGCCUAGCACUUUGUAAGCACUUUCUGUGACUACAGUCGCUUCUGCAUUUCCAUUGGAGACUCUUUUCAAGGUCUCUGGCAGGUAUAAAAUCAGUGAGCACUCAAGUCUUUUUGUAAAACAGCAUAGUAUUGUCAUCAUAGCCUACACACACUUUCCCCUGUAAUUCAAAACAUUUCUAGGUUCCUUGUAAUACAAUGUAGAGUACAAGUAAAUAGUUGUUAGACAUGUUUAGGGAAUGAUGACAAAUAAUAUCCAGUACAGAUAGUUUUUUAAUUACAUGAAUUUAUGUAUGUCUGCUUGUAUAUAUUCAUGCCAUGGUAUACAUGUGAAGGUCCGAGAACAGCUUUCAGGAGUGAGUUCCUUUCACUGUGUGGACCCCAGAGAUUGAGCCCUAAGGUCUGGUGGCAAGUUCCUUUACUCACUGAGCCAUCUUGCUGGCCCAUAGAUGCAGUUAUUGUUUCACAGUUAGUUGAGUCAAUAGAUGCAUCACCCAUAGAUAUGUAGAGUUAACUAUGCUAUAAGUAUUUGAAUAAAAAAUUGAGCCAGGCAUAACAGUGGACACCUUUAAUCCCAGGACUCAGGAGGUAGAGCCAGGAGAAUCUCUUGAGUUCAAGGCCAGCCUGGUCUACAGAGGGAAUUCCAGAACAGCCAGGACUAUACAGAGAAACCUUGUCUCAAAAAUAUAAAUAUAUAUACAAAUAUAUACACACAUAUAUAGAUAGAUAUAAAAAUAUAUAUUUAUAUAUAUAAUUUCCCCAGUUUCACUAGGCAUGAUGAUGCAUACUUAUAAUCCUAGCACUGAGAAGACAGAAGUAGGAGAAAUAUUACAAGUUUGAGUCUUAACUACAUAGGGAAUUGUAGCCAGCUUAGAUUAUAUAGCAAGAACUUGUUUCAAAACACUGCCAACAUCCAGACUUGUGCUCCUUGGAAUUUAGCUCCCUAAAAGAUGCUGCCAUCACAUUGCCUGAUUUCUGAAUGUUAGACAUUUCUUAACUAAAUCAGACCCAGUGGAUGAAUUGCUGUUCUUUCUUUCAGCCUUCAGAACUUGUCUCUUUUCUCUCUCAUUUUUAAAAUUCUUAUGUUUUUAUUGAUGUAGUGUUUCACUCUGUAGCCCAGGCUGCCCCAACACACUAUGUAAAGAGCCUCCAGCAGCAAUUUUCCUACCUCUGCCUCCCAAGGGCUGAGAUUACAGGCAUGAGCCACCACACCGUGCCGGGGUAGAUUUUUUUUUAAAAUAUAUUUUUUUAAAGAUUUAUUUAUUUAUUAUAUGUAAGUACACUGUAGCUGUCUUCAGACACUCCAGAAGAGGGAGUCAGAUCUCUCGUUACGGAUGGUUGUGAGCCACCAUGUGGUUGCUGGGAUUUGAACUCCUGACCUUCAGAAGAGCAGUCGGGUGCUCUUACCCACUGAGCCAUCUCACCAGCCCGGGGUAGAUUUAAAGUGUAUUUAGGUACAUUUUUUGUAGUGAUUGGUAUCAAAAUCCAGGACCUUGUGUGGACUAGGCAAGUGAUCUCUACCUGAACUUUAUCCCCAGAUAAUUUUAGUUGAACAGUCUUGAGGGAUUAUUUAAAAGGCAGAGUGUUUUAUAAUUUAAAGAGUUUACAGUAACCAGGCAUGGUGAUUCACACCUCUAUUCUCGGCAUGCUGAAGACAGAAGUAGGAUUACUGCAAGUUUUAGGCCAACCUGAGUUAUAUGUUGAGAUACUUCUC
rnacentral:lncRNA from 1 species